rnacentral:tRNA from 1 species
GCGCGGGUGGCGGAACUGGCAGACGCGUAUGUUUGAGGGGCAUAUGGCGCAAGCUGUGUGGGUUCAAAUCCCACCCCGCGCACCA